UACGUAGGUGGCAAGCGUUGUCCGGAUUUAUUGGGUUUAAAGGGGGCGUAGGCGGCCCUGUAAGUCAGUGCUGAAAUAUCCCAGCUUAACUGGGAGGGUGGCAUUGAUACUGCGGGGCUAGAGUACAGAUGAGGUAGGCGGAAUUGACGGUGUAGCGGUGAAAUGCUUAGAUAUCGUCAAGAACACCUAUAGCGAAGGCAGCUUACUAGGCUGUAACUGACGCUGAGGCACGAAAGUGUGGGGAUCAAACAGG
rnacentral:rRNA from 1 species